rnacentral:rRNA from 4 species
GGCGAGUGAAGCGGGAAGAGCCCAGCACCGAAUCAUCCUCCUUUUGGUGGACGAACUGUGGUGUUUAGGACGUUCUUUUUUGCAUUGCUAUUGCGUCUGAGUCCUCCUGAUUGGGGCUAUCCCAUAGUGGGUGUAAGGCCUCUACCGAUGCAGAGCUUUGCUUUUUGAACUGUCCUUGGAGUCGGGUUGUUUGGGAAUGCAGCCCAAAGUGGGUGGUAAACUCCAUUUAAGGCUAAA